GGCGAUGCUAGCGAGCGGGGCAGAGGCGGCAUCAGAGGCGGCACAGGUCUUCGAGGAGGCGGACUGCGUGGAGGCAAGGGCGGUGGAGGCGGCCGAGGCUUCGGGGGCGACGGAGGCGGCCGACUCCUUGGCGGCGGGCGAGGCGGCCGCGGCGGGCCAGCACGCCUGAUGUUAACCAUGAUCGGUCGGGGUGGUUGUCGGGGGCUUGGGGGGGGACCUGUGUGCGAGCGGAUAAAUUGUUGCAAUCUACUUUGUUGUCAUUCAUUAGCCAAUCCUGUUUCCGUCAGCAGGUAGGCAGGCAGAUAGGCAGGCAGCAACGAAAUGCCAUUAUCGCCACGGAAGGCAGGAGAUUUCUGCCAAUGAGAUUUGUCCUGGCGAAGACUUGGCUGGCUGGUGUGCAACGGCGCGUAUGUGGGACGGCGGCCGGGGACAGAUAAACACCGUCACUUGCAUCUGCAUGGCCUCCAUUUCCCUUCGUUUCGGGGCAACCUAGUCUAAACAAGUUAUUAGGGGAUAUACAUACAGCAUCCGCUCACGUCCGGGGGCAUCUGUAAAAGCCUGCGGCCCCGGGCGGCCUCAUGAACGGUUCUUUGUUGUUACUGGAUAAUAACACAUACACACACAUACGCACACAUACACACAUACACACACAUACACACACAUACACAUACAUACACACACAUACACACACAUACACACACAUACACACACAUACACACAUACACACACAUACACACACAUACACACACAUACACAAAUACACACACAUACACACACAUACACACACAUACACACACAUACACAAAUACACACACAUACACACACAUACACAAAUACACACACAUACACACACAUACACACAAUGGGAGGUGGCCCCCCAUCAUAUGGACGGUGUAGGACGUGAUAAUAUCAACUUGCGAGCUGAUCAGGAACUAAGUUGAUGCGCCGUUGAUCCGCUAGAUUUGGUUGGAUGCUGGUGGUGAGUUGCCGAACCCAACGAAUACAUUCUGAAGUCGGAUGGGGUGACGGAUUAGGGUGCCCCUCUAGCAGGGGAGAGCAGGGACUGCCCCGGGAAAGGGGGCCGCUGGCGAAGUUAACCACCCUGUAACAACAUACACACACAUACACACACAUACACACGCAUACACACACAUACACACAUACACACAUGUUGUGGUCCUAAUAGCCGAAUUGAGGAUGAAAAACACGUGUUAUUGGAAUGCCCAGCCUAUAAUGAUAUUCGUGCUGAAGAGGGAUUCGAUCAUCAACAGAGUAUGUUGGAGGCCAUACAAUGGGAACCCGCACGCCUGGCGAGGAUGUUGGAACGUAUGUGGGCUCACCGAAACUCAAUUACCCCAUUUGGACGUUAGUCUGGGCUGAUGUGCGGUGUUUUUUUCCUUUUCUCCGUGGCUUUUAGGCGUUGUAGUAUUGCCCUUGGGCCUUCGGCUCGUAUGGGUAGUCUUACAGGUAUGGGGUCACGAACCCCCGAACCAUGUAACACACACACACACACACACAUACACACGCAUACACGCACAUACACACAUACACACAUACACACACGCGUAGAAACGUACGUGCGUGCAUCUAGCAGGAAGAGUGUGUGGCCGCAUCGCGAAGGACAAGCAAUCUGGUGCAAGGCGAGACUAUCCUUGUAAACACGCGGCAUUGUUGUUAAAUAGCAUAGACUUCCAUCUCUGUUGCAUGUAUGAUGUUUGAAACAGGGGAGUAUAUCUUCACCCGAGGCAGCUACCCUGCGAAACCCUGCCUUCCCCGGUAUAUCGGGGCACCCUCAUCCAGUCACCCUAGUCAACUUCUCAGUGGGUCGCUCAAGUUCCGCACCCACCACCAGCAUCUAACGGAAUGUGACGGGUCGACAGCGGCCCAACUCCAUUCUUGGUCGGCUCGCAGGUUAACUUUAUCCCAGGUCACCAACGUCCAUCAACUAGGGGCGCAAUACCUUCCACCAUCGGAAGGAUUUUCAACCCUGACAGGUCUCGAUCCCGGGAUGACUGUUGUAUGUCCGCCGAUGUCAGGCAGCUCUAUCUGCUGUGCCAUCUUAAUCGUUGAGUACGCCUCCACACGUUUUACGUACUUUUGCAUGAGGCCGCGAAACGCUAAAGCUAAAGCUAAGCAAAAAAACACGUGGGGAUUUAACCCGUGAAAUAACAGGCGUUUCGCAUUCUUUCCUUUGUUUCCCCGGAUAUUCAGACAACUAGCCUCGCGGCGGCGCGUGCGGAGAAAAAAAAACUAUUACUAAAACACCAUUGGGGGAUUACUCACGCUUGCUAGGGGUUGGGCGUGUUUGGGCCGCUGCUGGCUCCAGCAAUAGCAGGGCCGUGAGGAGCAGCUGCGUCGUCAGCUUGACCAGCAGAAGCCAUGGUUGCGCCAUUUGCGGCAGCGCAAAGAUAAUAAGCGUUUCGCGGGUAGGUAGCAAGCCCGUAAGGGUGGUUGGCAAACGGCCGAGAAGAUGAAAGGUUCUUUUUAAUUAUUGGUGAUCAACGAGCGAAUCAAUGGACCACAAAUGUUGUCGGCAAUAUACUGCAAUAAGCAUGUGACUAUUAACUUAUUAUCGGGAAAAAAAAUUAAAUGGGAUUCUCAGUGCUGUUAGCAUACGCGCUUGCUCUUGACUGACACAGCUCGUACAAUGCUGUGCUUGUGUCUCUUCAGGCCAGCUAGGCAACUGCCAAUAAUGUGUGGCACCAGCAGAGAUUCCGAGAUGGUAAUGUCCGUCUUCAUCUUGCGGGUUAAUAUGCCGAAACACAUAAUAUCCGCUUUCCUGUGGAAAAGCUUGGUAUAAACAAAUUACAGGUUGGGUGACGAAUAGCUCACCGCCUGCUGUUAUAUCGAUUACAAUGCAUCCGCUGUCAAGCUACGCCUCUUACGUACGUAAAGCCAUAAAAAUAAAUUCUUUCUAGUUAUAGAAAAACGCAGGACUGAAAUAUUGCAUGUUGCACGACGCACGGAUGCAUUAUGUAUACUCGCUCGCGCGAUCGCUCGAUAAUCGAUAAUCGAUGUCGUGGCUAGUUAUGAGUCGACCUCCCCGCCUACGAGCCAUGUCCCUGUCCGCCCUGCUGCUCAUCAGGACCGGGUUCCAACCCUUGCUUGAAGCCGCCGAAGUAAUUCGAUCUCAAAGGCUCUACUAUCUUGUAGUAUGCAUAUGUAGCUUUUCUCAUCAUAACAGCUUGAUGGAGGUUUGCAAACGAUUAGCAGGACAACGAAUACGCACGUCGCUAGAGCUCGGCAGGCCUUGCUUGCUCGGCGGGCCUUCAUCUAUCCAUGCAUUCUCUAUCGGCACGCCACCUUUAUUAUUCGCCUCUAUCUGCACUGUGCCCUGCAUGCACCACCGUGUACAUCCUUGCAUCGUUUUCUGCGUGGUAAUAUUGGACUUAUUAUAUUAGCCUAUCAUGUCUCACAAAACAUUUAAAGGAACAUGCAUGUAAUAAUGCUUUGGGAAGGCCGAAUACGUCUGCUAACUCCUUCGCUCGUUCGCUCGCUCCCAUCGUGUAGUGGUAGAUAGUGGUGUCGGCGCGCACUGCGCGCGCUGCGCAGCUGCAGCAUUUACUGUUCCGGGUACAUAGCUACCUGCAGCAGCAGCAUGAUUUGCUCCAUCUAUCCUACAUACUUGCAAGAACAAGUGUUGCAAGUAAACAGCUCCCAUCCGUCGUCCCGUCAUGCAUCGUCUGCAGCAGCUAGCAGCAGCAGCUCUCCCUUUUCCCGUAUGUAGUUUUAAGUUCUGUUGUAUACGCGUAUGUAGUAGCUCACAAAGCAAUACCCUACCUGGCUAAUCGACGGAUCAAUUUGACGAUGGCUGCGCAUGCAUGUGUAAGUACGUGUGUGGUUACGGUGUAAAUACGUGGUCCCCACAGACUAGCCGCUGCAAAGCUAAGCAUGGUCUCCUCCCCGAACGCCUGGUUGGCAUUCACGUUCGCUACGUGCGUUGCGACCGCAUUACGACAACAAGGUUAUUAUUACUAGCUGCUGUCCGCGCAUGUAUGUGUGUGUAUGUGUAUGUGUGUGUGUGUGUGUGCGUGUGUGUGUGUGUCUGUGUGUGUGUGUGUGUCCGGAUCCGCAUGCAAACAGCAGAUAGCUGGCGAUGACGCCACAUGCUGCUGCUGAGGAUUAAUAACCAGCUAAGAACAUGAAGUAACAAAAUUAAUAUAAUGCCUGAUAGGCUGCUCGACUGUGUGCACGAAUGUUCACCCAUACACCCACCAGCGUGCAUAGCGGGCGGGGGUGAGGGAUAGAACAUUUGGCGGUGGGCGGCUGGAUGGCGUUCCACACCAUAGAGAAAAAGCACAGCGUCCCUGUAAGAAGCACGUUUGGCAUAGAGCAUGGAACGAUUUAUAGUAUACCAUCCUUUUGCGCACCGUAUGUAUCAAAAGUAGCAAGACGCACGUGCAUACGCAUGUGUGUUGUAUCACGUCUUAUCGCAGGAAAAGAACCGAUCGGCGGAUGUCAAUGCCGUGAUACCCAGGAUACUACAAUGUGUGUGGAUGUUUGUGUGUGUGUGCGUGUGUGUGUUACAUGGUUUGGGGUGCGUGACCCCGCAUACCUGCAGAAUUACCCAUACGAGCCGAAAGCCCAAGGGCAAGACCUGAACGCCUAAACGCCACAUAAGAAGGAUACACCGCAAUUAAGGGAGAAGAUAGAACUAGCGCCCAAAGGGCACAGCUGAGUUGCGGUAAGCCCGCAUACGUUCCAACAUCCUCGCCAGGAGGGCUGGCUCGCAUUUCAUGCUCUGUUGAAGAUCGAAUUUCUUCUUCCGCGCGAAUACCAUUAAAAGCUAUUUUUCGUCCUCGACUUGGUGCCACUUUUGGUUCCACAACAGCUCUGGAUCCGCUGCUCCCUGGGGACGUGGUGCCUGCCCCUUCGGGUUUUGUUUGCCUCGAAAUCCCAGCAAAAUCAACGAAAGUGCAUUAGCCUACGAUGCGCUAGAAGAGGAAUGAAAACUUAGCAUAAGUUUGCUGCAUGAUGUGCAUACGUUGUCGUACAUGGUCAUACGUGCGUUGUGUGCGCUUGCCUCACCGACAUACCAGCAACACAUACCAGCAACACCCUGUCGCAUUGCAUCAUCACGCAGCAAGCACCUGCUGGGCCAUUUUGCGUCCAACCAUCUGCGGUAUCACUCCUACCGGGCGUGAGUGUGUAUAACGUGUACCCAGCCACCCCAGCCAGUGUAUUAUCACAACUUCAGGAAAGUACACCUAUCGGCGGAUGCAUAUCUCUCUCGUGACAUGACCAGGAUACGACAGCCAGCCAGCCAGCCAGCCAGCCAAACAACCGAAGCGUAUCUACCUUCUCCUGUGUUACUGACUAUGUGAAACGUCAUGGAGUAGCUAUAUACAGGCACCUACGGCGCAUGAACGGAGUAAAAAUAGCUACGGGUAACGUUCAUUCCAGGACGACCAUUAACCCACCCCGCGUUUAUUGGAGUAGUUGAUCCGCCUGUUGGUUGAUCAGUGAUAUCACCCAUCAUUGAUGAAAGGGUUGGGAGCUGCGAUUGAUUAUUGAGACAUCACCAAUAGUAGUAAUAUGUUCUCGCAGGCAGCUGCAGGUACACGCCGUCCCUGCUGUCCGUGUUUCCAGCUCCCACCGAAACCGUCCACUGCCAUUUGGUUGGAUGUUCAACCAGUCCUCGGGCACUCUCGCAGCUACCAUCAGCUGCCAUCCGGCGCCACCUCGCGCUGUACAUUUAUUUGUGGCACAGGGCCGCUACUAACUAGCGAUUGGGGCCGGACUGCUCUGACCCUCCUGGAAAGGUGCCUGGGCAAUACUAAUAAUCUGGCCUAUCUGACGCGCUUCCUGAUAAGCCACCGCUAAUGUUCCAACCCGAACCUACGACCUUGCCAUCACGCACAAGUCCUCUUCCUCAAGGAUUGUCUGUUCCGACGAUGAUGAACAGAAUAAAAGAAAGCAAAAGGGUUUGAUGUCACUUGCUGCGGCGGGCUAUACAUCGUGCAUAUGAUGUAUCGUCCAAAUAACGUGGCCGACCCAUGAUACAUACGUAGCCCACUGUAACCACCACAAACACAAACACAAACACAAACACAAACACAAACACAAACACAAACACAAACACAAACACAAACACAAACACAAACACAAACACAAACACAAACACAAACACAAACACAAACACAAACACAAACACAAACACAAACACAAACACAAACACAAACACAAACACAAACACAAACACAAACACAAACACAAACACAAACACAAACACAAACACAAACACAAACACAAACACAAACACAAACACAAACACAAACACAAACACAAACACAAACACAAACACAAACACAAACACAAACACAAACACAAACACAAACACAAACACAAACACAAACACAAACACAAACACAAACACAAACACAAACACAAACACAAACACAAACACAAACACAAACACAAACACAAACACAAACACAAACACAAACACAAACACAAACAGACACACAUCUGUAUUUAAACAUGCACGCACACGCACGAACUAGCUACUGUAGUGCGGGCCCUCACGAUGUCUGUUUAUACAUCAGGUAGUUACCAUCAAUCGACUGAUAUACAUACAUGCGUCCAUCCAACAAAUAAAAUUCAUGCCACAACUACAGCUGCUACAGAAAAGUACUGAUCGGUGGAUGCAGAUCCCAUGAUAUUCCCAGAUAUUCCCAACUCAUUUAUCCCCCCUCUAGCAGUGGAGGGCGACCUCAACCUCAGCCAACUCAGGGUCUGUAGUAGCGGGUACACAGUACGCCACACAUAACCUCUACAAAUACGCGCUAAGUGCGACCGCCAGCAGCAUCUCGAGAGGCCUGCUUUUCGGCGGCCAGCUACUACAGCUUCCUGAGUCCCUAUGUGGUGGCAGCACCCGCGGGAUACCCGGCGGUCGCCAGGCCUUUAACGCCCCGCUAAGCACGUACAGGUGAGAUUCAAACCCAAGUUAGGAGUGGGAUUCAUGUAGGCGGUCAUCUAGCACAUAACGACAUAACGACUACAACUGCUACAGCUAAGUACCUACUGGCGGAUGAAGUGCCCGUGAAAUGUCCAAAAUACAACAAUGAACCUCAUGGCUUAAGCAAAGCCGGAAGGAAAUACAUCGCUGCCAGCAUGCAGCACGCAGCACGCACAGCUCGAUGGCGAUGUGGCGAAGGCCCCCCUGGGGUGGGGCCCACCUUUAAAAGCAAAUGAAUGUAGCCGGAUAAAGUCCACGCACGCACGCACGUGUGCCAAUUACGAAUGGCAGAUUUACCUGGCUAUCCGUUGACAUGCUGCCCCUAUUGCUUAAACAGCUGCGCUCCUAGGCUCCCAGCAGCAGUUAUUUACAGACAAAUCGUAAAUUUUGUUAAUUUACGUAAGGGACGUACAUGAAGGAUAGCUGUGGCUAUGCUUGAACCAUCCCGAUAGCUGGAUAGAGCGUGCGCAUCCGUACGUCGUGAUGUGACAACAGCGGCUUUGUUUUUUUCCGCUCCGCCAUUGUCGUCCUUGAUGUGGCGCAGGACGGAUCAUAUCAUAUCAUCUUUAUUGAAGGCUGCUGGCGACAGCGAUGCGUGAGGGGGGGGCGGCGAUGUGUGUGUCUUGCAGCAUUCCACAGUAUGGCUGGUAUGGUAGUCAUGUUGAUGUGCGUUCCUCAUGCAUGCCAAAGUAGUCAUGUUGAUGGUGCUUCACUCGUUACACCACAGCAGCACUGGUGUUGCGUAGCACUGCGAGAGCGGCACACGGGGCAUUCGGCAUAUGCUUGGACACGGAAAGGUCUGCAGCGGGCAACUACACUAGGGUCCAAUAUUACUGCUCCACAGGGGUUGCAUAAAAUGGAUGGAUAACCCGUCGCAUUAUCAGCUGGCAAUAUUGCCAUUAAAAAAUGCAAGACAAGCUAGGAGCACUGAUCCAACCAUGCAUAUAUUUACCUCAUACAAAUGAGACACCCUACAAUACUCUACCAAGCCGGCGUGUGUACACACGUGGUUGCCGGUACACGCGGGGCUGUUAGCUGUCAGGCGUCUGCUGUCUGGCUGCUGGCUCGUCACUCGCUCACUCACCGUUCUUCAGGAAGGACAUGUCGCUUUGCCAGUUACCGGGCGCCUUGUAGCGACACACCACAACCUUGCACCCGGCUGCCAGGGUUUUACUUCCAAUCCGUAUAGGCGUCUCCGCAGAUCCAACUCCGCAACCAAUGGUUGACGUGCCCUUCCAGACCAGCUGGGAGAAGUGGCCAAUGUUUCUGGGCCAGUUAUCGUAAUAAGGCUGAGCAGCGUCAAAAUCGUAGUUUACGACCUCAGCGUACCAGCCCCUGGCUGCCAGUGUGCAUGUAUUGUCGGGUUUAGGAAAGGACUGCUGCGAUAAUAAAUUCUCACCAGCAUCGCGAACGCCUGAGUGCUUGAGCGCGCAAUCGUUAUCAGCAAGUUGCUGUGCGUAAGCGGUGGCAGCGAUGGCCAAAUUGUUGUUCCAUCGAAGAGGUGGCGCCUGGUGCCGGGCACGGUAAAGGUUGUGCAGAUCAAGAAAAGCUUGGGCAUCCGGACAACUGCUGCCCAUAAGCUCAGAGGGGCUUGGUGGUGUCGGGCUUUGCACUGGCGGCGCCGGGCUUUGCACUGGCGGCGCCGGGCUUUGCACUGGCGGCGCCGGGCUUUGCACUGGCGGCGCCGGGCUUUGCACUGGCGGCGCCGGGCUUUGCACUGGCGGCGCCGGGCUUUGCACUGGCGGCGCCGGGCUUUGCACUGGCGGCGCCGGGCUUUGCACUGGCGGCGCCGGGCUUUGCACUGGCGGCGCCGGGCUUUGCACUGGCGGCGCCGGGCUUUGCACUGGCGGCGCCGGGCUUUGCACUGGCGGCGCUGGGCUUUGCACUGGCGGCGCUGGGCUUUGCACUGGCGGCGCCGGGCUUUGCACUGGCGGCGCUGGGCUUUGCACUGGCGGCGCCGGGCUUUGCACUGGCGGCGCCGGGCUUUGCACUGGCGGCUGGGCUGGUGUUGGCAUCUGGUCCGGGUUGUACGGCUGAGGAUUUCCAGGCGGCCUUGGAAGGGGAGGCGACGGGGUCUUACUCUGUGACAGUCCUGCUGGCUGAUGAGCGGCAAAGAGCGGCGAGGGAGCCGUCGGUAGAGGUGCGGCGUUAGGCUGGUCGUCCAUCGCUAGGAGGAUUUGGCGCCCGCCACGCAGCCCGACGAAGCCUGUGAGAAAAGGUGGCCGGUUGAACAAAUCGAUGACAGAUAUAUGGGCGUUUGGGGAUGCAGUGCCCUAGCAGAUAUGGAGGUUAGGUAAGUAGCUGAUGCACACAAACAAAGAUUCGAACACAACUAGAAACGCAUCCGAUAGUUAGCCCUCGGCCAUACAUCUUAAUUAAUCUUGCGCACUUACAAGAAACGUACUCCUGCCUACGUUUGCGCACAUACUUGCUCCUAUUUACUUGCUCCUAUUUACUUGCUCCUACGUAGCAUACUACUUCUCCGGCCUACAAGUGCUUUAUCCGAAAUCGAAAUCAAGGAUAAAAUUUUAUAACUUACGGUCUCCACGGAGUUUUGCUUGCGCUGCUGUCUGCUGCGAAAGCAUCAGGCCGAGAAUGAAGCCGAUCAGAGCCGUCGCUGUUGUCGGGGAAGUGACGACGGCUUGCCGAGCCAUCGCUCCUGGCAAACACCGAUCUUACAGGUGAAUGUUUAUAGAAUGAAAUUCCUGCCUGGGGUGCGCUGUUCCUCGCUAGAGUCGGAGCUGGACCGCAAUCUUCGCGGCGCAACACUGCAAGCUGUGGGUGGGCGGCGGAGAGGCGCUAAGAAAGGUUGCCUUAUGCGCAAGGAGCCUUGAGUUGUGCGCAUUUAAUAUAAAAUAAUAUAUUUAAGUGAUUCUUGGCCUUAUGGUGUCGUAAUAUUACUGUGAGAACUUGGUGCCGACAAGCCGACUAUGUAUUUGUAAGGAAUUGGGAGUACGACAACAACCACCGCUAUGAUCUCACUCUUCCCAUACAAAUGGUCAUACCUCGCUCCAUUCACCUCCCACAUUGGCAUCAGUCAGUCCGGCGACCACAACGCUUCAUCCCUUUAGACCUAAGGGUUGUCUUUAUUAGCUACCCUGAGCAUAAUUUUGUAAAUAUGCACCUGAGUGUAAAUUUUUUGACUGGUAGCUAACAAGGCGCAUUAGUAAGCAGCUAGCGGUUCCCAUCGCGUUUCACUCGUGCGUUCGCUCCAGUGCGAGGCAUGAGCUGGAUGAAUGUGCAUUUCCUUAUUGAGUUAAUAACUGUGAAUUAGCCCGCUGCCAGGCCACACUGUUGCUAAUUGCGCUGGGUAUAUGCAUGUAUACCGCUCCUCCUCCUCCUCCUCCUCCUCCUCCUCAUCAUCAUCAUCAUCAUCAUCAUCAUCAUCAUCAUCAUCAUCAUCAUCAUCUUAUCACUUCUCUAAAUGUAUGUAUACCCACCGCGGUAGCUGCAUACCUUGCUUCGGGGAAUCUGCCUCCCGGAUUACCUGGCUGGCUGGCUUUAUGUCUAAAGCUCUAGUUGCUGUACCUAAUACUUGAAUUCCUGCUGCACCUUCGCGGGAGGUGCUAGGGGCGGAUGCUUGGGACUCGCAUCGAGCAACUUCGUUCAGUACUAAGUCAAGCAUGCUUGCACACGAGUCGACAUGCACUGCGAACGGAACCGAACAGAGAUGUCACAGACAAAUGCCGCCGGCUGGCGGCGGCGGUCUAAGCAAGAAACUAAAUCUGAAUGCUCCAUUGAUUCAAAAGUUGAAAUUCGCACCGAUUGCUUGGCUUUUUCACUGGCUGCAGCCGCCCAGCUAGCUAUCUUAUCUUAUCCCUCAAUAAGCCCUCUUCCGCCGCAAUGGAAAAUCACUCUCGCUUAGCCAGCAGCGACUGCAUGUCGGAUAUUUUGGACAUUACAAGCUUCAAUUACGGGCUCGUGCGGUGCAGACGAACCCGGAGGUUCAUGAACCGCCUAAGAAUCAAGCUAAAAGACAAUGUUAGGUGUGUCAGGUUUACCGCGACUCCGCGCCUAGCUGGCAAUAAAAACGCUGCAGCCAGGCUUCCGAACCCUCAUAAGUAGGAUUACUUACUUUCUUACAGCAGGGAGGCCAUCGGACAUCUAGACUGUUUGCCUGACGGCGACUGCAACGGCAGGUGCAUGUAUGAUGAGUAGAAAGAAGCCAGCUGUAAUAGUGAGCCCAAAUUGUCCUACGGCUUUGUAUACGUGCGUUCCCCUCUAAUAAACCUCACGAUGGGAUAACUAACCGUGAAAAUAAGCCACGAGGCAAGAGAACGUAGUUCAACUGAAUUCGUUCCAAGUAACUCAUUUAGCAUGAUAACUCACAUACUUUUUGAAAGUAACGGAAAUCAUUAGCGGAAGGAAACGAACGACAUCGCUAAACAUUACAACGAAUACGGCCCUGUCUGAAGUGCGAGGUAGGAACGGUGCGUAUAGGCGAUCUGGCAGCCCUUGCAAGGGCUCAAUUGAGCCCUCGGCUCGUAUUGGGCGUUUUGCAGGUACGGGGAAUGCACCCCAUGUAAAACACACACACACACACAUGUGUGUGUACACACACACACACACAUUAAGCAAGUACCGGUACGUAUGUGACGCCGUUGAAAUUAAUCGCGCACCCCAGCCGGCACCAUAACAUUCCAUCCGCCCACAAGAAUGAAAGAAAGCCAGUCGGCUGCAGCAGGCUCAGUCGUCCUCCCAGACACACACACACGUCUGUAUUUUUUUUGGUCGUCUAUAUCCUGAAGACCCGUCUAUUAGACGAGUCAUCUACAAUAGUUCGUCUAAAGUCGAGUCGUCUAUGCAUGUCGUCUAUAGUCGAUUCAUCUAUUGUAGACGAAGGAUAGACGAUGGGUAGACGGUGAGAGGAGUUCAAUAUGCUGGAGAGUGUCUGCUUGGGUUAAACCAUGCCGCUGAGUGAUGUCUGUUCUGCAUCAAUGUUGGCAAGGUUCUGACAGGCUAACACUGCCUGGCAUGUAACGAUUAUCGCCAUACUUACAAAACCCCAGCACAUGCUGUGGGGACCAGGCAGUGCCCAGCCUCUCCCACUUCCUUACCACAAAACUGUAGCAGUUUGAGAUAAUUGGGCAGACUUCAGUGUAGCCCAUCCCUCAUCGACAAGCCCACAACAAAGGCUCGUCAUGGUCCUUUAUAACUGCAAUGUCUGGCAACUUCCCAGCACAGGCCAUCUGGUUUUGAAAACUCUCACCAACACAGGCUGUGAUGAACAGCCAUUCCAACUCCACCACCCUUGCCAUGUAUGCAUGGAUGCGUGGUGUAACACCGCCCAUAACCCGCAAGUCAAUGUGCCCAGCUCAACAUCAGCACCAGAUCAUCUUGGGUGGGUACUUCGACAGCAGUCCUUUCAGCACACUUCCUUGCCAAAUAAUAACACCAAGGGUCACACAGUCCUCCCCACCCCCCACACCCCCACCCGUGUGUACAAGAACUCCCCUGGCUCGGCUAAUCAAACAUCGCAGUGAACUCGGGGCCCAUCUCGGACUCCAGUGGGUGGGUUUCAUUUUCCACCGUCCCCGACUGCACGUAGAAGUGCAGUCGCGGUGACUUGCGACCCGGGAUGGCGGCAUCCCCUGCAUGCACGGUGUUGCCGUGAAGCAGGAUAAUGUGGCCCGGCUGCAUGAUCAGCCGCAGCAGCUUCGGGGCACUCACGGAGGCCAGCGCAAUCAUUUUUGCACGUUUACUCUUGCGCUGAACCAGGCCUGCAUAGGUGCGAACAGCAUUGUGGCUCAAUGGCGACACCAACAGAGAGCACGGCUCAAGUGGCACAAUGGCGACAAGGCCAUUUGCCCCGACAGGCAUAUCGAUGUGGAGCAACUGCUCCCGGAGGGGCUCCUCACCGGGCAGGUUGACAAGCACCACGCCCUUCUGCACCCGCUGUGUGCCUGUCGCUACCUUUCCGAGCUCCGUGACGAUGUACCGUUUCAAUGGCUUCAGCAGCCGGUACAGCUCAGAGGCACGCUCGUACACCGGGCGGGAGAGACCCUCCUCCUUGUCCUGCCCCUCCUCACCCAGCUCCUCCCCUUGCCCCUCCUCCUCCCCCUGGAUCCUCUCCUCCGCCUCCCCUUCCUCCUCCGUUCCUUCCUCCUCUCCCUCCCCCUCCUCCAACCCUUCCUCAUCUCCUUCCUCCUCCUCUUCAGCCUCUCCGUCCUCCUCCUCCUCCCCCCCCUCGUCCAUCACCCUUUCCCCUCCACCCUUUCCCUCGCCCUUGAAUGCUUUGGGCUUCUUGGGCUGUUGCAGCUCUGCCUGGUACCGCUGUCCACCCUUGCCUGGUGUCACUACUACCCGGUGCUCAUCCUUUUCGUCCCGGACGAAAUUUCCACACUCAUCCUUUACCAGCUCGUUGAAGAUGGGAUACCCCACCAGCUCACAGAACUCUGUGGCGUUGCUGGCCGCUUCUGUGGUGAUGCGCUCCUUCUGUGGCACACACACACACACACACAUACACACACACAUACACACACACAUACACACACACACGCACACACACACUCUUGUUAGUGUUGCGCCGCCCGACCAGCAGCGAACACCUCUUUCCUGUGUCGAUCAACAUCCCAACAUGGUCAAUAUCCAUCCUCCUCCCUGGCCCAUCGAUAGCGACAGCGGCGAUAUUCCAUAACAGCCUCCACCUCGACCCGACGAUGCGCUAUAAUGUGCUAGUUAUGCCAUUACGCAGCUCACAAACAGUGGCCUUGUUGCAUGCUGGAUACGUGCUUGACAGCUCUCACCCCUGACCGUGCGUGCGUCCCCUUACGAGAUGCCCUGUCGGUAGUUUACAGGUUUACGUAGGUCGUGGGCGGCGGCACUGCAGGGAGGGGGCACCGUGCGUGUGUGGGGUGAGCGUGUGUGUAACAUACACAGCUAUUAAUCACUGAGGACGACCUCCUGUGAGCUGGAAAAGAGAGUCAUAGGGGUGGUGGUGGUGGUGGUAGUAGUAGUAGCAAUGAUGAUAGUAAUGAGAUAAUAAUAAUAAAUAAUAAUAAAUAGUAAAUAAUAAUAAUAUAAUAAUAAUAAUAUUAAGAGAGCAGUUGAUACCGUAGCGGAACUAAAGAUUUUACAAAAUAAAUAAUUAUUUGCAUGCGGUAAAAUAUUUUGGCAAAAUUCAGAGUCUUACCGUAAAAUCUUUAGUUCCCGGGAGGGAACUCGGAGCGAUGCGGUAAAAUAUAUAUGGCCCUUCGCGCACAGCAAGCUUUUGGCACUAGAUCUUAUUCUAUUUUACACAUAAUAUUGUAACAUAAUAAUAUAUUAACCUAUUUCUGGCAGCAGCAUGGGCAAGCGCAAGCUCAGCAAACACCGCUUCAUUGACAAGCUGCCGGCCAUACCGGCGGCUUUUGCCAGCGAAGUGCAGUUCUCAGCACCUAAGGCAAUUACGAACACGUUUUACUGACUUAGUGUCAAUGCCUCCUCGUGACCGCUAUUUGAUCAGUUUCGCUGCAUAACCAUUGCGGUUGCAGCCCUUGCGGUGGUUGUUAUAGCUAAGGGCUUAUUUUGUUGGGGAGUAGGGAGUAGGCAUUUGAGAGAUGACAUAUCUAAGUUCUUACAAGCUGGUUGGUGUCGCCGGGCGUGAAGUGGCUGUAUUUAGAUGGUUACGAUGGCCCUUUCUUGGAGCGUCGUGAAAUGCUCUCGCGUCCUUCAUCAAUCAUAAGAAUUCUGCGGCUGGUACAGAAUGGUGGAUGUUUGGAGGCCUUGUCACGGUGGCUUGGCUUUCAGAUGGGGGUUUACCAUUUGGAGUUUCUUAAUUUGAGACGUGUUGUGAUGAUUCUCAUUUCCCCUCAUGCGUGAGAGGGAGGCGGGCAGUGGUGUUGCAUGGUGGGGUAGCUUUGCGGGCCGGUAAAAUCCCAGGAAAUCAUCCACAGUACCGUAAAAUCUUGGCAAAAUCCACCAGCAUGCGGUAAAAUACUUCGUUCCGUAAAAUAUAUUAAAAUCCAUAAUUUUGCGGUAAAAUCUUUAUUUUGUAAAAUCUUUAGUUCCGCUACGGUAGCAUUCACUCCCCCAGUCCCCAGCCAACCAACUUGAGUUGUCAUGCACUCUAUCCGCAUGCACCGCAGGCCCCACCACUACCACCACCACCACCACCGCCACCACCGCCACCACCACCACCAGGAUCAUCUGCCCCAUGCCGGGGACUCACCGUUGUACAGAUACUGUGCAUUGCUCACAACGUUGCCCGCAUCCAUGUAACGGCACACAACUGAGAGGCAGCCAAUGUUAAAUCUAAAGCCACCCUGGUAUUGGAUUCUAUUCCCUGUAGCCAGUCCGCAGCCGACAAUUGAUGUUGAGCGCCAGACCACCUGAGUGAAGUGACCAAGCCCUAGAGGAACAUUAACGUCGGCUGGUUGCGAAGUAUUAAAGUUGUAAUAUUGAAUCUCGCCGUACCAAGCACCAACUGCCAGCGCGCACUUGAAGUCGGGGCUGGGUUGCGAUUCGAAUAAGGCUAUGUUCUCGCCGAUUUUGGUAUCCGGGGAGUGUUCGUGUGAGCAGCGGGGCCCGAUCACAUCAGCCCAGGCCUGGGCGCUUUUGGCCAAAUUGGCGUCCCAUCGCAGGGGAGGGACCUGGUGAAGGCUACGGUAGUAGUUGUGAACAUCCAGAACCUGUUGAGCAUCGGGACAGACGCCACCUGCAGCCACCGCCAUACGGCACACCCAUAUGCAUAACAUACACGCAAUCUGUAAAGUGUAAGGCUGCUGCAUUGCGGCACUAACGCUGGGUGUAUUUGUGGGUGGGUGGGUGGUUUUGGGUUUUGGUGCGGGUGUGGUUGUGGGUUUGGGUAUGGGUGUUGUUGUGGGUGUGGGGGUGGGUGCAUGUAUGUCCCGCAUAAUCCGCACUGGAAGUACACCCUAAUACACAUAGACGAACAUGGCACUUAACACGGCGUCAUCCGAUACGGUCCGAUAUCAUCUAGGACACGGUCGGAGCCUUGCCACCAUAAGAUAUACGACAAUGUGACACUUCUAAGUGUUUUUGCUGAUACAGUGGAUAUGGCAAUAAUAAUAAUAGAUAGUAUUAAAGUGCAGCCCGCUCCAUAAAUUCAGAUCUGAUAUUGCCGCACAGACAGCAGCGGCUUUGCCGCAUAAACCAUCAGUCGUACUUGCAGACGCGCGCAUACCCAAGUAAGGUAUCACUAGCGGCCGACCUGGAGUGGUGAUGCUCAAGGGCGGUGAUGGAGGAGGAGGCGGUCGCGGUGGCCGUGGGGACGGCGGGGGCGGCAGUGGGCUUGGCGGCCGUGGAAAUGGGGACGGCGGCCGUGGGAAUGGGGAUGGCGGCGGUGGUGGCGGCGGCGGGCUUGGCGGACGUCUUGGCGACUGCGGCCGCGGCGGCGGCGACUUUUUCGCCACUGGCGAAGGUGGCGGCGACUUGGCAGCUUUUGCCCGCGGCGGGCGACGCUUUCCCUUCUCCGCAACUGCAAUACGUUACCGGCAGGCAGGUCGAAUACAGAUACACGCUGCUGGGAGGGGGAGGAGGAGGUGCGGCCAGCGUGCGGAGGCGGGGAGCUCGCGCACAAUAAAGUUAGACCUCUACCAGUAGGAGCGAUAAUAACGGCACUAAGAGAGCGUUUGAUGAGCGGCUGGGACCAUACGCGUCUGACUGUCUUGCCAGAGGAGUACCCAUCAGAUGGGAAGCAACCGGGAGUGCAAAUGGCGAAGUAUAAGCACUGGAUGGGGCUGCCCUUUUCGGGAGCCGCAGCCGUCAUGUGGCCAACACAUGCUAAGGUUUUCAUUCCUCGUUUAGCACAUCGUAAGCUAAUGCAGUUUCGUUUAUGUUGCUGGGCUUUGGAGGCGAACAGAGCACGAAGGGGCAAGUACCAUGUCCCCAGGGGGCAGCGGUUUUGCCACUGUUGUGGUCCUAAUAGCCGAAUUGAGGAUGAAAAACACGUGUUAUUGGAAUGCCCAGCCUAUAAUGAUAUUCGUGCUGAAGAGGGAUUCGAUCAUCAACAGAGUAUGUUGGAGGCCAUGCAAUGGGAACCCGCACGUCUGGCGAGGAUGUUGGAACGUAUGUGGGCUCACCGAAACUCAAUUACCCCCUUUGGACGUUAGUCUGGGCUGAUGUGCGGUGUUUUUUCCUUUUUCUCCGUGGCUUUUAGGCGUUGUAGUAUUGCCCUUGGGCCCUCGGCUCGUAUGGGUAGUCUUACAGGUAUGGGGUCACGCACCCCCAACCAUGUAACACACACACACAAUAAAGUUAAAUGAUGACUCAGCAAGCAGCUGCAGGUCACAUGGGUAGUGCACACGCAAUGCGCGCAGGACUUUCUCCCAGUUGCUGUCUGUUACAUACGUAGUAAUGGAACCGUCGAAAACGCGGAUGAUCAUCAAUACAUAUACGGGGAUUCAGAAUGCAAGGCCGCGAUGCGUUCUGCAACGGCUGCAAGACGCGAUGAUGAAAGGCACCACUAAACGCACCACGCACAUACGUACGAGCGUACAUACGUACGCACGGGAUUGGUGCGGGAGUGGAAACGCAAAGUAAGGACACUGUCUGUUGGGUUGAGGAGCGACUAUCGACCAUCUAUUUUCAGGCCUAUCUACCGUGGGCACAAUCUGUAGACCAUGAAUUUAUUUACAAUCUAUUUCUAGGUCCUAGAUAGUCGAUUAUAAGAUGAGCCUGUCUAUAGGCCAUAUUCAUUUUUACCGACGUCAUAACCGACGCAUUUCCAAAACCAUUUUUUUGCAGCCUAACAUGGCAACCCAACACCUAUAUGUCUGAUGAACUGCAACCUUUCGUUGCCGACGGACCAAUCCGGGCGCAAUAACCGCAAUAAUCGACUUACGAUUGCUGUUUUCUUGCUGGGCCAGCGCCUGCUGGGAGGCCACCAGGACGGCGAAGAUGAGGGCCGCUAAGGCCGCAGACGCGGCAAGAUGCCGUCGAACCAUUUGGACGUUUCGAGGGCUGGUUCUUGCGAUUAUUAUAUACCGGCGGUAAGGUACUACAGGAGAAAGGUGCCUUACCAGAUACGGAGAUCGAUUCACGCACGUCCUGGUGUGUGUAUAUGUAGUAACAGAACUUGUGCUCGUAUAUGUAUAAAUGGCAGGUUUUGUUCAAACACACAUUUUCCAAUUACACUAAUCAUGUGGCGUAAAUUUAUCCUUUUCACAUGGGCUGACUGUAACGAUUCUCCUGUUUCGUGUACAACAGUCUGUGUGCCCGUUCGGCAAGAGCGACGAUCCGUUCGUUCUGAAGUGUCGCUCUGCGGCGUGAGUGAUUGGCUGUCGAAUCUGCCAUAGGAUAACUAAUAAUACUAUAUCGCUUUGAUGAGUCAUUAUUAGGUGUCGCAACGCCAUCCGCGUCCAUCACGACAUUCAUAAGACAUUCAUGGUGCUCACCAUUCCCCCUUCGAGAGCACGUACAGCGGUCUGCUGCGUCUAUCUCAAGCAUCAUCAAAACAAUAGAUAGCUCAUAAAUUAGGAGCCGCAAUCCUACGGUGUGGCUUCGUUGAUGUAUCAAUUGACGUCUUCACGGCUGUGUCCCCUGGGUAGGGUACAGGCUUUGAGGUAGGUUGGGAGGAGCAGACGCUCGUCCAAGGCCGGCGGUUAGCAUCCAAAUCUACAAACAUCAUUCCGGAGCAGAAUGUGCAUCAGUUUGCAUGUGCGUGGGUGCUCUAUCUGCUGGAAUAGACACCUCACUCCUGUAGUGUUUCAUUUCUGUAGUCAUUGAAGCAGGUACCGUAGUAUGACAUCCUCGCUCAAUGAGCGAAAUCAAGCGAAAUGGAGGAGUUUUCCAUUCCUAAGCUCGACGUAGUGGCAUCUAUUUGCGAAAAAAAACGCUUUCCGCUAUGACUAAGCAUGUAAGAUGCUAAAGGACGGCGGCUUACGCUGUCCGUCCUGAUCGGUGGAAUCAUGCAUGCUACCGUAGUCUUACUUAUACGCGACGUUACAAACUGUGACGGGCCUGGCCGAGAGGGGUCUGACAUUUCUUCGGUUUAAAAACGAAUGGCGGCCAAAAUAUCCGAAAGUAUGGUCCACAUUUCUCCGUUACAAUAUGAAUGGCGGUCGUCGCGGCCCACCGCCCCAGGGCCCCGAUAGCGGAGAACUGCACCAGCAGCAGCCAUGCAAGCAAAGCUGAAAUGCACUUCGUUUGCGACUCUGUGCGCACACGCCAUACGAGGCUGACAUGUUCCUUCGUUGCCAUCAGUGCAAGGCACAGCACUUGCACCCGGCGCACAUGGCUCCACAUAAACUUGCACUGACAAACCGAUGGCGACGCCCUAGGGCCAAAAGCUGGUCCGGAUUUCUACACUUUUUGAAUGGCGAAAAUCGCCAUUAGUUUGUAACGUCGCGUAUAAGUAAGACUACGGUAUGUCUUUUCGUUCCCCCAAUUGUGCCCCUCCAAGCUCGGGGUCUACUUAAUUUCCCAAUGCGUCCCUACAAUCUUGCUUAGCCUUUGACACAUUAUAUGUUUUUUUGUAACAACAGCUGUUUUGGCAUCUGAUUGGCGAGAGCAAGGAGCUGUCACCUCGCAGUGGGAGCGAAAACGCGCGCGCGUACACGAUAUUGAACCCGCCGAUUUUCUAUAGAAUUAUUUUAGUGUCGCUAAUUCCAUAAAUGUUGUAUUUUCUGGAAAUGACUUGGGAUUUUUGACUCGCUGACCAAAGUUAUCUCUGUCUGCCCCUUCCAGCAGCAGAGGAUGCUUCCAGCUUCAAAUUCGCGUUAGCUCCUGCUACGAGUCUAUUGCCAUUGCCAUUUCUGUUACAGAUAUUGGCUGUGCUCUUACGGCCUGAUCGAUGAAAAGGCCGCACCGAACCAAAAGGAAAAGAAAUAAUGUAGUAGAGCGAAAAGGGCGGGCGACGCGGCCUCCAGGGUGGGAGGGCGGGGCGCGUGCUGAACAACAAAAACAAGAUACAGAAAACCUGCAACACGCGCUAUUUAUGCAAAAGACGAUCCUGAGGACACGGAUCGCCGGCCUCAAGUCGUACCACUUAAAACGGCCGUAAGGCCCUACGCCUUAGCUAACCCGGCUCAAGCUUCGCAUAGCCCGCAUUAGCUCCUGCUACGAGUCUAUUGCCAAAAGGAAAGACACCCCCUCUCAGCGGUUAAAGUACUGACCCAUCACCGGCGCGACACGCCGGGCCGCGAGAGGGCCAAAGAAGGCGACCGCACGAGGGCAGCCACGGACCCCCAAAUCGAGGUAGUUCUCCCGCAACGCCGACGAGCCUGCGGCCCAGCCACCAAAUGCUUCGAUGAUAUCCAGUGGCACUCCCGCCGCACGGGCGGCCGAGGCACCACCCCGCCGCAAACUAUAAAGGGUGUGGACGGAACGAAGGCCCUCCAGGCCACACUGCGCCAAAACACGAUCGAACCAACGCUCGGCCCCCUGAGUCGUCUGGCGCUCCGGCCAUAAACGCGCAGGGUCCCGGGACAGCUUCUGCAGGAGGGCAACCCGGAGAAACGGGAGGCCCCCCNNNNNNNNNNNNNNNNNNNNNNNNNNNNNNNNNNNNNNNNNNNNNNNNNNNNNNNNNNNNNNNNNNNNNNNNNNNNNNNNNNNNNNNNNNNNNNNNNNNNNNNNNNNNNNNNNNNNNNNNNNNNNNNNCAUAAAUUCAGAUCUGAUAUUGCCGCACAGACAGCAGCGGCUUUGCCGCAUAAACCAUCAGUCGUACUUGCAGACGCGCGCAUACCCAAGUAAGGUAUCACUAGCGGCCGACCUGGAGUGGUGAUGCUCAAGGGCGGUGAUGGAGGAGGAGGCGGUCGCGGUGGCCGUGGGGACGGCGGGGGCGGCAGUGGGCUUGGCGGCCGUGGAAAUGGGGACGGCGGCCGUGGGAAUGGGGAUGGCGGCGGUGGUGGCGGCGGCGGGCUUGGCGGACGUCUUGGCGACUGCGGCCGCGGCGGCGGCGACUUUUUCGCCACUGGCGAAGGUGGCGGCGACUUGGCAGCUUUUGCCCGCGGCGGGCGACGCUUUCCCUUCUCCGCAACUGCAAUACGUUACCGGCAGGCAGGUCGAAUACAGAUACACGCUGCUGGGAGGGGGAGGAGGAGGUGCGGCCAGCGUGCGGAGGCGGGGAGCUCGCGCACAAUAAAGUUAGACCUCUACCAGUAGGAGCGAUAAUAACGGCACUAAGAGAGCGUUUGAUGAGCGGCUGGGACCAUACGCGUCUGACUGUCUUGCCAGAGGAGUACCCAUCAGAUGGGAAGCAACCGGGAGUGCAAAUGGCGAAGUAUAAGCACUGGAUGGGGCUGCCCUUUUCGGGAGCCGCAGCCGUCAUGUGGCCAACACAUGCUAAGGUUUUCAUUCCUCGUUUAGCACAUCGUAAGCUAAUGCAGUUUCGUUUAUGUUGCUGGGCUUUGGAGGCGAACAGAGCACGAAGGGGCAAGUACCAUGUCCCCAGGGGGCAGCGGUUUUGCCACUGUUGUGGUCCUAAUAGCCGAAUUGAGGAUGAAAAACACGUGUUAUUGGAAUGCCCAGCCUAUAAUGAUAUUCGUGCUGAAGAGGGAUUCGAUCAUCAACAGAGUAUGUUGGAGGCCAUGCAAUGGGAACCCGCACGUCUGGCGAGGAUGUUGGAACGUAUGUGGGCUCACCGAAACUCAAUUACCCCCUUUGGACGUUAGUCUGGGCUGAUGUGCGGUGUUUUUUCCUUUUUCUCCGUGGCUUUUAGGCGUUGUNNNNNNNNNNNNNNNNNNNNNNNNNNNNNNNNNNNNNNNNNNNNNNNNNNGGCAGUGAAAACGCGAGAAGAACGCGGGACAUGCGUGUUGAGAUGCGAGGCGAACAGAUCCACAUCAUACGGCCCAAACAGAUGCUCUAGGAGACGAAAAUAGCGGGGGUGCAGGCGGUAAUCAUCCCGAUCGAUCCAACGGGAGGCAGCAUCCGCCUCGUUUGCCGCACUCUCGACCCUCUCCACCUGCAAAACGAUGCUGUGCUCUUGCAGGAACUCCCACAGACACUGCAACUCCGCGUGCAUAGCUGGUGACCGCGAAGACAGGCGACCCAGAACUGCCUGAGUGCAGGUGUUAUCCUCCCGAAUCAACACAACACGCUGCCGAACGAGAGGGAGAAAAGACUCCAGAGCGUAACGCACAGCCCGCAACUCCUUCCAAUUGAUGUGUGCGGGAAUCUCAUCGAACGACCAGUAACCUCGCGCGGUGCGACCAUGCAACACAGCACCCCAAGAGUGGCGGGACGCAUCCACCGACAGCUCAACCGCCGCCGGUCCCAAAUGGAUUGCUGCCGAACAAUGGCGGGUGGGAACCUCCGCCCACCAAUCUAGGUCCCGCAUAGACCCACGGGACAGCCGCACUUUACCGGACCAACCAACCGGCUGCGCAAGAUCAUCGUAGAAAUUACGGAGAAACAGGGGGGCGGGGGUGAGGGCGAGCUUCACACUCUGAGCAAAACCACACAGCUGCGCCAACUCACGCUUCUGAACCAGACGGCGAUUCUUCUUGGCCGUAACCCGGAGCCCCACAGCUAACCGACGCAACUUGGCCAACUUGCCCGCAGGCACCUCAAACAGNCCCUCCGCAGUAUUAACUGUAAUGCCCAAAUGGUAAACCGACUGCGAGGGCUCCCAUUGGCACUUGGUGGGAUGGCACGAUAAACCCAGGAACUCGAUGCUCUCUCUGACCCACUGCNNNNNNNNNNNNNNNNNNNNNNNNNNNNNNNNNNNNNNNNNNNNNNNNNNGGAGGGGGAGGCGGCGGGGGAGAUGGUGGCGGCGGUGGAGGGGGUGGCGGAGGAGGAGAUGGGGGCGGCGGUGGAGGGGGCGGCGGUGGAGGCGAUGGCGGUGGAGGGGGAGGGGGAGGCGGCGGAGGAGAUGGCGGAAGGGGGGAAGGCGGCGGAGAUGGCGGCGGAGGUGGAGGUGGAGGCGGAGGCGGAGGAGAUGGUGGCGGAGGGGGAGGCGAAGGCGAUGGCGACGGAAGGGGAGGCGAAGGCGAUGGCGGAGAAGGGGGAGAGGGCAGCGGCGAAGGGGAUGGUGGAAGUGGAGAUGGCGGAAACGGAGAUGGUGGACGUGGGGAAGGUGGUCGAGGGGAUGGCGGAGGCUUGGGGGUGCUCACAUAGCGGAUAGGGCAGCAUGUGUCGGUGCUGUUGAGGCUAUUCAACAGGGCUACUUGGCAUGUCCCUGGAGGAGAGCUGACUGACGGCGGCACACAGAGCUCUUCCAGAGUACCGCAGCCGGCGUCGUUCACACCAGCCGUGAGGUUGAGGCAGAGCUCAGCGUUGUUGUCCGAUAAACCCAUAGUCAGGCUGGUGAGCCGGAGCACGUAUCUGUAGGUGCCGUUGUCCAAUUGGUAGGUGUAGUAAUUAGGGCCGACGAGGGUGAACUUUCCAUUAAUGGUUGCCUUGACUGACGCAGACUUGGCCAGGCACUUGGCGUUGACAUCAAACUGUUGGGAGACAGGCGAGAUGACGCGAAAAGGGAAGAAAAAGAUGUUAACUCCUCGACCAAAGGGAGGGACAAAAUGUACUAAGGGCCGGGUAAAAAACGUAUUCGGUUGACCGGGUUAAAUGAUCGCAUAACAUAUUUAUACAUGCUGAUGUUAUGUUAGCGCAGCAUGGAUUUCCAUGGGACUCCGACUUCGCCUAAGCGCAGUUGGUCGUUUCCGCAGCAAACCAACCGCACCUCAAUUUUGUUCAAGUCGACAUUGCAGCAUCGUCCAGUGCAACCUGUGCUAUUGACAAGAAUCUUGAAGCAGUACUGGCCUUUGCCUUUCACAGUCACAGUUGGGGCGAAGUUGUAUGGCGAUGGAUUGGCAGGAAGGCGAUAGCAGGAGCAGUAGGGGAAUCUAGGGUCGACUGUCGCCUGAGAAUCCAGCUGUUCCUCAAGUGAAGUAUCAGCAACUGCUGUUGUCAUCCUGCGUUUUGCCAGGGUUCGAUCCGAUUUACUGACUCAGUCAAUGGCUGUCUCUAAGCCAAGGUCAAGAGCACCACAAAUCAGGCAGCCCAACGUAUUGAUACACCAAAUCAAUGGUUACAAAAAAACCUACCAUGACAUCGCAAGGCACAGAAGCAGACGUGCAAGGCGGGGCCUUAAAGCGCGCCUCGCCAUGGCUGCAGGAGAAGAUUGUCUACGCUUCUUCUGGCUAUCUUGGAUGUGACAAAAUGAAUGUGAUAAUCCUUUAUAAGUCAGAAGGACAUGUUCGUUGAUUGGUAGGUACGGCACUUCUUAUCCCAGCUUGCAAUGGAUCCAAAUUUUGGAAGACGAACUGAGCAGUACACGAGGUACAUUUGUCAGCACAUCAUCCUAUAAAGGACUAUCUUGAAAUGUUGAAGGAAUAAACUAUGCUUGCUCAAGUGCAGAGCUUAUUAUUGAGGUAACAAGAUCCAUUCGGCAUGGCACUAGCGCUCACAGAUGCCUUUUGUACAUUCACGAAAAGACGCCCAACCGUACAUUUUUAUUUUUAAUGCGUUGCAGCUUAAGAAGCUCCUUCCUCUCGUACGCAUACUUACACAUCGGACACUCAAAAAGGCUGGUCUGUAAGCGUCGGUACAGAGCCAUGCAGUCUAACAUCCCAAUAGCCUUACAACACUCGCAAAAGCUAGACUGGCAUGACGCAGCGUGGCCGUUGCCGCCAUUGUCUUUGUCACAAAGACGGUGAGCUGUUACCAUGCACGCGCAGUACCGACGUAUUGCCCCUAGUAAGACACGCCAACAUCGUGGAAAGUUUAUUAUCUUUUAUUAUCCUUGUGCCUGAUGUAUGCAAAGCAAUGCUAUAAAUAAUCAGUAAAGUAUCAGCAACCUGCUGUGUCAGCUUCGUUUUGCCAGUUGUUCACGAUUUACUCACGAAAAUGGCUGCUCUAAGCCAAAAGUCAGAGCACCACAAACCGGCGCCCAACGUAUUGAUUACACCAAAUAAAUGGUACAAAAAAACCUANNNNNNNNNNNNNNNNNNNNNNNNNNNNNNNNNNNNNNNNNNNNNNNNNNUGUCGCGGUACCAAGUCCUCACAUGCCGAACAGCAAAAUCGAGCAACUUCCAACAGGCACAUAUUAUACAUGAAGUUUUGUGGUCUAAAACAUACCACUAUAGGAGGAGGUGGGAGGCGUAGGAUUUAGAUAUGUCGGCAUACCUUUUGAAUAUGCACCAGCCAUAGGCCGCCGGUAUGUAUUCUCCAAUCAUGCAGUAUUCCAUCCGGCCAUCGUAAUGUAAUACUGUCGCUAUGUAAUCCUGUCGCUAUUCGUCGGCUAAUUCACGACGUUUCAUGAGGUGAUAUUAACCAUUUGACAAGAGCACAUAUGGAUACAGUAACUAGUUCGCUGGGUUUGCACCUUGUUUGGUUAUCCCCCCACAUCACGCGUAGGAUGAAUAGGAUGGGGGGCCGGGGUGCAGCAUCCGGUGCUCUACGGCUAGUAGCAGAGCCUUCCGGUCUAGCCACGGGAACCCAAGCCAUAGCCAGACAAAUUAGACUGCCUAUAGCCGCUGCUCUGUUUGGCAGAUCGUGUCAGCAGAGGCCGGCCGCGGUAAAUGAGUGUGGCCAGUGGAAAGCAGAACUAGCUGGAGGCGGGCUACUCUUUGUUUUUUGUUGUGUUAGUGUUAGUGAACGCGGGUAUACCGCUCAGCAGGAGCCGCAAUACGGCCGAUACGGCCGAGCAAGGCAUACAUACACACAACCCAAAUUGGAAGCCGAAGUUUCGGCUGGUCGAUGACUCCCCAUAUGUCGCGUACAUGUAGAUCUGUAUAACGUAAUUCCUAAAAAUUGCAUGUCCUUAUUGGAAGUCCUUUGCGAGGUUGCCCGAGUGGUCGAAGGGGUGAGCCUUAAGAUCUCAUGGUCGCAAGACUGCGUGGGUUCGAUCCCCACACCUCGCAAAAAAUUNNNNNNNNNNNNNNNNNNNNNNNNNNNNNNNNNNNNNNNNNNNNNNNNNNCAAACCAGAAUUAUCCACCGUCAUGGUUCCCGGCAAAUUGUGCAGAACAUAGUCGGGAAACGGAAACCGCGACCCGGCUGGAGAGCGCUGCACUUGAGGCGACGCAAAAUCCUCCGUCAGCGCGCGCAAAUCGUAUUCCGGACCCGAGGUCGCACCUUGACUAUUUAGGCGCGCGCGGACCCCGGCCAGGUCUUGUUGCAUCUGGAGUAACAUUGCAGCGAUGUCCGGCCCAGCAACCGCCGCACCAGACAUAGUUGCCGCUCUCGGUACCGCGCUGGGCGCCAUUCCGCCUCCUAGCGGCGUAGCGCCGCCACCCAGCAGACCUUGCAUAUAUGGGGAAGGGGGCUGGGAACCAUAUUGGCCCGGCAUCAUGGCGCCAGCAACGCCGCAGAAAACGACAAAAACCGCUAAAACGGCUUGGACGGAUACUGCUACGGUUGCCAUGAUCUUCAAGACGAUGACGACGGAGCGAUAAUGGUGCUCCUUCAAUCAGGGCACUCUACCCGAUGGGUCUUGCUGAAGAGCUGAAAGCACAGCGGAAAAAACAGAAAGCGCGCCGAAGGCGCGGGACCUGCCUCGUUGUUCAGCGCGUGCUGAACAACAAAAACAAGAUACAGAAAACCUGCAACACGCGCUAUUUAUGCAAAAGACGAUCCUGAGGACACGGAUCGCCGGCCUCAAGUCGUACCACUUAAAACGGCCGUAAGGCCCUACGCCUUAGCUAACCCGGCUCAAGCUUCGCAUAGCCCGCAAUACAGGUACCUUCCGCAUUCCACAGUUGCGCAACUCAACUUGCAGUUUUCAUGAAAUGUAUUAUGCAAAUAGAUGUGUUCAAUGAUGUGCCAUAAGCCAUAACAGGUCAUAUACCUCUAUAUACUUCAUAUACCUCUGUGUGUCUCGGUCUGUGACCCAAGCGAGGGCAAAACAUGAACACCUAAAGCCACAAACAAAAGUACCGCACUAGCAGGAGAACAGAAUGUACAUAUAUAGCUGUUACAGCAUUUGUCAUACAUACAUACAUACCUCCGUUCAGUGGACCACAUGUACAAAAUUGAGGUGCAAACGAAUAACGGUGAAGGUGGCGAGUACAGACUCUUUUUUCCGAAACAUGUCUGUAACGCGGUCGACUCGUGCGGUAGUGAUACAAGCGUCCUUGACCAACUAAUACAUACAGAGCUGCUACCAAGGCGCUGGCUUGACCUUCCGACGUUGCGUCCGGAGUACCGGGCGACCUGACCGUCAGCGCUUCUGGCGGGCCUGCCCCUGCGUCCAUUGGCGAUCGCCUGCGGUUGUCUGCUUGUCUGCCGCCUGCUUCUUACCUCCUGUCGGCGGUUGGGUAUCGCUUGAUGUUGCAUUACGGCCUGCUUUCGUACAGGCUUGCUGCAGCCGCGACCCCACCUGGCCAGAUGCAUACCCGCCCAAUCAUGCCGAAACUUUUGUAAUCCACGCUUUCAAUUUGUAAAAGCUUGAAACAGAGCACUCCUUACGGACCUGCCGUACGUACGGCAUGGUGAGCGUGUGGCGGGUUCCAAGGGUCCCUUUGGCGGAGGGUAAUAAUAUUAAAUACCCCGUCACCUCAUUAGCUAUCCUCUGUAAAACCUUGCUGCUGAAAAGCUUGCAGUGCGGAGAGCACGUGAGCAUACACGCUUUGCGUAGCUUUGGGGCCUUGGGACAAUCACCACGCUGCGGCUCUACUCUUCGUGAGUCUGGAGCCCACUGUAACACACAUACACAUACACACACAUACACACACAUACACACACAUACACACACAUACACACACAUACACACACAUACACACACAUACACACACAUACACACACAUACACACACAUACACACACAUACACACACAUACACACACAUACACACACAUACACACACACAUAAACACACACAUACACACACAUACACACACACACACAUACACACACACACGCACAUACACACACACACUCUUGUUAGUGUUGCGCCGCCCGACCAGCAGCGAACACCUCUUUCCUGUGUCGAUCAACAUCCCAACAUGGUCAAUAUCCAUCCUCCUCCCUGGCCCAUCGAUAGCGACAGCGGCGAUAUUCCAUAACAGCCUCCACCUCGCCCCGGCGAUGCGCUGUAAUGUGCUAGUUAUACCAAUACGCAGCUCACAAACAGUGACCUUGUUGCAUGAUGGAUACGUGCUUGACAGCUCUCACCCCCGACCGUGCGUGCGUCCCCUUACGAGAUGCCCUGUCGGUUGUUUACAGGUUUACGUAGGUCGUGGGCGGCGGCACUGCAGGGAGGGGGCACCGUGCGUGUGUGGGCGUGAGCGUGUGUGGGCGUGAGCGUGUGUAAAGCUAUUAAUCACUGAGGACGACCUCCUGUGAGCUGGAAAAGAGAGUCAUAGGGGUGGUGGUGGUGGUGGUGGUAGUAGUAGUAGCAAUGAUGAUAGUAAUGAUGAUAAUAAUAAUAAAUAAUAAAUAAU
rnacentral:lncRNA from 1 species